rnacentral:rRNA from 1 species
UGGGUAACCUGCCUCAAAGAGGGGAAUAGCCUCCCGAAAGGGAGAUUAAUACCGCAUAAUAUGUUUAAGUCGCAUGACUUUAACAUCAAAGGAUUUUCUUUUAGAACUUCCACUUUGAGAUGGACCCGCGGCGCAUUAGCUAGUUGGUGAGGUAACGGCUCACCAAGGCAACGAUGCGUAGCCGACCUGAGAGGGUGAUCGGCCACAUUGGAACUGAGGCACGGUCCAGACUCCUAGGGAGG